UACGAAGGGAGCUAGCGUUGUUCGGAAUUACUGGGCGUAAAGCGUGCGUAGGUGGUUUGUUAAGUCUGUUGUGAAAGCCCCGGGCUCAACCUGGGAAUGGCAAUGGAUACUGGCAAGCUAGAGUGCGGUAGAGGGUAGUGGAAUUCCCGGUGUAGCGGUGAAAUGCGUAGAGAUCGGGAGGAACACCAGUGGCGAAGGCGGCUACCUGGACCAGCACUGACACUGAGGCACGAAAGCGUAGGGAGCAAACAGG
rnacentral:rRNA from 1 species